AACGAACGCUGGCGGCAGGCCUAACACAUGCAAGUCGAGCGCCCUUUCGGGGGAGCGGCGGACGGGUGAGUAACGCGUGGGAAUAUGCCCUUCUCUACGGAAUAGCCUCGGGAAACUGAGAGUAAUGCCGUAUACGCCCUGUGGGGGAAAGAUUUAUCGGGGAAGGAUUAGCCCGCGUUGGAUUAGGUAGUUGGUGGGGUAAUGGCCUACCAAGCCGACGAUCCAUAGCUGGUUUGAGAGGAUGAUCAGCCACACUGGGACUGAGACACGGCCCAGACUCCUACGGGAGGCAGCAGUGGGGAAUCUUAGACAAUGGGGGCAACCCUGAUCUAGCCAUGCCGCGUGAGUGAUGAAGGCCUUAGGGUUGUAAAGCUCUUUCAGCUGGGAAGAUAAUGACGGUACCAGCAGAAGAAGCCCCGGCUAACUCCGUG
rnacentral:rRNA from 1 species